UCCGUGCCAGCAGCCGCGGUAAUACGGAGGAUUCGAGCGUAUCCGGAUUUAUUGGGUUUAAAGGGUGCGUAGGCGGUUAAAUAAGUUUGAGGUUAAAUGGUUAGCUCAACUAGCGUUUGCCUUGAAAACUGUUUGACUAGGAUGUAAACGGCGCAGGCGAAUGAAUCAUGUAGCGGUGACAUGCAUAGAUAUGAUUCAGAACACCGAUCGCGAAGGCAGUUGCGAGGAUACGAUUGACGCUGAAGCACGAAAGCGUGGGUAUCGAACAGGAUUAGAUACCUGGUAGUCCACGCUGUAAACGAUGAUAACUAGAUGUUGGCGAUAUACAGUCAGUGUCGAUUGAAAGAUAUAAGUUAUCCACCUGGGGAGUACGAUCGCAAGGUUGAAACUCAAAGGAAUGACGGGGGCCCGCACAAGCGGAGGAGCAUGUGGUUUAAUUCGAUGAUACGCGAGGAACCUACCCGAACUUGAACGUAUGAUGAAUAAUUUAAGAGAUUAGAUUAGUUAGCAAUAACAUUAACGAGGUGCUGCAUGGUUGUCGUCAGCUCGUGCCGUGAGGUGUCAGGUUAAGUCCUAUAAGAGCGCAACCCCUGCACAUAGUUACCAGCACGUUAUGGUGGGGACUCUAUGUGGACUGCCGCGCAAGCUGCGAGGAAGGCGGGGAUGACGUCAAAUCAGCACGGCCCUUACGUUCGGGGCACACACGUGCUACAAUGGCAGGUACAGAGGGCAGCGACACAGUGAUGUGGAGCGAAUCUCAAAGCCUGUCUCAGUUCGGAUCGGAGUCUGCAACCCGACUUCGUGAAGAUGGAUUCGCUAUAAUCGCAGAUCAGCCAUGCUGCGGUGAAUACGUUCCCGGGCCUUGCACUCACCGCCCGU
rnacentral:rRNA from 1 species